AACGAACGCUGGCGGCAUGCCUAACACAUGCAAGUCGAACGAAACCAUCGGGUCUAGUGGCGCCCGGGUUCGUAACGCGUGGGAACCUGCCCUUAGGUUCGGCAUACCUCUCCGACAGGGGUACUAAUACCGGACAAUGUCUUCGACCCGAAGAUUUAUCGCCUUUGGUUGGGCCCUCGUUGCAUUAGCUAGUUGGUAGGGUAAAAGGCUAUUAAGGCGUCGAUCCAUAGCUUGUCUGAGAGAAUGAUCAGCCACACUUGGACUGAGAAGCGGCCCGGAAUCCUACGGGAGGGAGCAGUGCGGGAUGGAGCAACGCGGGCGGAGGGCUGAUGCAGUUAGGAUGGGUAAGCUCUGAAGGCCGUAGGGAUGAAAAGCGUAUUUACCCAGGAUGAUAAUGACGGUACCGGGAGAAUAAGCCCCGGCUAACUCCGUG
rnacentral:rRNA from 1 species